rnacentral:lncRNA from 1 species
AAGUACCAAGUAAAUGUUUCAACCAUCCACACUACAAACCUUUAAUCUGGCAGCUGCUUUCAGCAGAUUGCAUGCCUCCUUAGUGCUACCGUCCGAUGAUGAGUUGUACUUUUCAAACUCUUUUGCAAAACGUUCAGCAACAAAAAUAUGUGCAUUGAAAGGCUUUGCUGCUUUUCCACAAGAUUUAUGCGCCACUUUUUCGAUUG